rnacentral:rRNA from 1 species
UACGUAGGGGGCAAGCGUUGUCCGGAUUUAUUGGGCGUAAGAGCGUGUAGGCGGCCGUACAGGUCAGCUGUGAAAAACUCGAGGCUCAACCUCGAGACGUCGGUUGAAACCGUACGGCUAGAGUCCGGAAGAGGAGAGUGGAAUUCCCGGUGUAGCGGUGAAAUGCGCAGAUAUCGGGAAGAACACCCGUGGCGAAGGCGGCUCUCUGGGACGGUACUGACGCUGAGACGCGAAAGCGUGGGGAGCGAACAGG